ACAGCAGCAGCCACGGGAAUACGGAGGGGGCUAGCGUUGUUCGGAAUUACUGGGCGUAAAGCGCACGUAGGCGGCUUGGUAAGUUAGAGGUGAAAGCCCGGAGCUCAACUCCGGAAUUGCCUUUAAGACUGCCGAGCUAGUAGGUGAGAGAGGUAAGUGGAAUUCCGAGUGUAGAGGUGAAAUUCGUAGAUAUUCGGAAGAACACCAGUGGCGAAGGCGGCUUACUGGCUCAUUCUAGACGCUGAGGUGCGAAAGCGUGGGGAGCAAACAGGAUUAGAUACCCGUAGUCCCUGUCUCUUAUACAC
rnacentral:rRNA from 1 species